rnacentral:rRNA from 1 species
AUACAGAGGGUGCAGGCGUUAAUCGGAAUUACUGGGCGUAAAGCGCGCGUAGGCGGUUUAAUCAGUCGGAUGUGAAAGCCCCGGGCUCAACCUGGGAACUGCAUUCGAUACUGUUAAGCUAGAGUAUGGUAGAGGGAAGUGGAAUUCCAGGUGUAGCGGUGAAAUGCGUAGAUAUCUGGAGGUACAUCAGUGGCGAAGGCGACUUCCUGGACCAAUACUGACGCUGAGGUGCGAAAGCGUGGGGAACAAACAGGAUUAGAAACCCUAGUAGUCC